rnacentral:lncRNA from 1 species
AUGGGAUGGCGAGUUCUGAAGUCACCUGCUUUCCCAUUGAACAGCUUCUUGAGUUUAAGCAAGGAUGCUGCAAAGUGGCGUAUUAAGGCAGGAAGGGAGGAUUGUUCUUUGUUCUGUUGGGAACAGGCGAAUGUGGCACCAGCCCUAAGCCGAGCUUUUGAGUCUAGGCCAUGCCCACUGCUGGGGCAGACAGGUACUCUCCUCAACAUCACCAACCCUCCCUCUGGGGUGACCCUUUCCAUCUGCUGUGAGUGGCAUGAGCUGGGGGUGGGAAGAGGGCUACCCCAAGAGAGAGCACCAUGUGGGCAGUCUCUUGAUCUGGGGUGGGGGCUGGAGAUUAUGAAUGGGGUCAGGAGCGGCUGUGAGCUUUGGGGAAGGAGCCGGGCCUGCAGCCUGGACAGAGGGUUCUCCCUCAAGUCCAAGAUACUGGAAUUCCAGCCCCACUGGCCUUCUUGUUCGGGAGAGGGACCUGUGCCUCUUUUUCCACCAGGUGACCAAGGGUCUGGAGUCUUCCUGCACAGAUGCAUUGGACAGCACACAGAGGCUACCCAGAGGCCUCCAAAGUUACUGAAAAUACGUGUGAUACUACAACUACGGAUGGAACAGUAUCUACCCUGAAGGUUUUGAUAAGGAGCCUGUUUUCAAGGGAGCCAGUCGUUUACUCUGGGUUCUGUUGUUCUGAGUCUCUCUCUGGCCAGGUGGGUUGAUCUCUUUGUACUCCCUGUCAGACCUUCGCUGCAGGGCAUAGCUUGGGUGGGUCCUUCUUCAUGCUGCCCGGGCGUUCUUAGCGCUCUGCGCUCUGUGUGCUCACGCCUCAGACAUCAGCGGUUGGGAGCGAUCUGGAGGCAUUUAGGUUUCCUGCGCAACCUUGCAUGAUCAAGUUCGAGACCACCCCAAGGCUUGAACAUUUCCAACACGGGCCCAUGAUGCGACGUCAGUGCUGGGCCCCUUGGUCCUGUCCGUCCUCUGCCAUCCGCCCUGGCACCCGUGCAGGCUGUCCCAGAAAGGACAGGGCCCAGCUCGCCGCAGUGCCCCGGGCCGCAGUGGGAGCCACCUCCCGCUGCCCCAGUCUCUCUCCCUCCGUCUCCCAGCCUCAGCCCACGCCCUGGCCCGCUCGGCCUGGGUGCAGGCGGCGCCCAGCCUCCAGGCCAGUACCCUCAGUGGGUCCCCACGCUCAGGUUUUCCGGAACCCUGGAGAAGGUCCUGGCCCUUUGCCUUGAGAUGCCCCCUUUCAGGACUGAGGAUAGCAGCAGGAUCCCUUCAACCAAAGCCCUCCGGGCCUGACCCCGCCUCCACCUCCACCUCCCAGGCCGUCAAACUGCAAAAGAAACCCCUCCAGACCUGUUAACGCCCGGCCCGACAUGUGCGCAUGCCCAGUGCGGCCCAUAGCUGACUGUUCCCCGGAAUGGCGUUGAUGGGCAACAGCCGCCAUUUUGAGUGUGUCGUGUGCAAAAAAUAAAUAAAUAAAUAAACCACGCUUGCGCA